rnacentral:rRNA from 1 species
UACGGAGGGUGCGAGCGUUAUCCGGAUUCACUGGGUUUAAAGGGUGCGUAGGUGGGCAGGUAAGUCAGUGGUGAAAUCUCCGGGCUUAACCCGGAAACUGCCAUUGAUACUAUCAGUCUUGAAUACCGUGGAGGUAAGCGGAAUAUGUCAUGUAGCGGUGAAAUGCUUAGAUAUGACAUAGAACACCAAUUGCGAAGGCAGCUUACUACCCGAAUAUUGACACUGAGGCACGAAAAGCGUGGGGGAUCAAAACAGG